rnacentral:tmRNA from 1 species
GGGGGUGAAUGGACUCGACCUAAAAGGUGAUGUGAAAGGGAGCAUGCCGCGGAUGUAAGCUUCCUGCGUUAGUGGCGCUUGCAAAAAAAUAAAGGCAAAACCUUUUACUACAGCUCCUGAAUACGCGUUAAGCUAAACAGGAGAUUCUUAUAUUCCUUGCCUCAGGGGAUAUAAGGGUUCGGUUUGAGGCUAUAGAGUAAGUUUUUGCCUUUUGGGCUUGCUCUUAAAACAUAAAAAGGCUGCUUUCUGGUAAAUCCUGCCUCUUGGAGUUACCAGGGAAAAGAUAAAGAAGAGGCUAAGCAUGUAGGGUCCUUUUGCUGAAAUUUUAGGGACGCGGGUUCGAUUCCCGCCACCUCCACCA